AUACUUACCUGGGGUCAAUUGAUAAUUAGGAAAGUCGAUGGCUUAGGAAGGCCACCUCCAUUGCACUUGGGAGGAGAGGUUUACCUAGAGUCUCCCAUUGAAUAUUAAUAAUAAUAC
rnacentral:snRNA from 9 species